GGCAGUGGUAGCUUAGUGGUUAAGACUUUAGACUACUACUCAGAAGGUCAUGUGUUCAAUCCCUGACACUACCA